ACCAGACUACCACCAUUUCGUCCACUCUCAUUCUAGAACAUAAUUUCUUUUUUCUCUUUCUCUACUUUCCUCCACACAUUUAGCCACACAGCCCACACCCAUGCACUUCUUCACCUUGAUCUUCUUUAUUCUUUUCUUUUUCUCUAAAUUCAACCACACACAUCUCACACACACACACACACACACACACUUCUUCAUCUUGAUCUUCACAAGUAAUUUCUCUUAAUUUCACCAAAAAUCUUCAAUACCUCUCUUAGCCCACACCCACGCACUUCUUCACCUAGAUCUUCACAGAAAAAGCUCAUUUUGAAACAAUACCAAACACCCGACUUUCAUUUUUGCUCUCAGAAAGUGCGUUUUGGCUUCUAAAGGCCGAAACAAACGGGUACUGAGUUGGAGCAAAAUCCUUCUGGAUAGGCUGCUUCUUUGUCUGAAAGAAGAGAGGCGUGUAGUCCUAAAAGAAACAAUUAGUCAGCAAUAGUUAUCAGAAAGAGAAGACUUCAGAAUAUUCUCUCUCUUUUCUUGUAAGAAGACUUCAUGCCCACCCACCAACCACCCCGUCCAAAAAAACAAAAAAAAAAAGUUAUUUUAAGUGAAAGACCACUGCGCACAAACAUGGAUCCUGAAACCAUGGUCAUGCCAUUGAUUCUGAUCGUGCUUUUCUUCCCAUUUUGCACUUCCGUUGACACCUUAACACCAAACCAAUCCAUCAAGGAUGGCCAGUCUUUGAUUUCCAACAAAAAUAAUUUCGCCUUAGGCUUCUUCAGUCCCGGAAAUUCUAGCUACCAGUAUCUUGGUAUUUGGUUUGUCAAAGUGGCAUAUCAAACUAUAGUGUGGGUGGCAAACAGGAAUGAUCCUAUUAUUGAUUCCUCCGGUGUUCUCUCCAUCAACCAGUAUGGAAACCUUGUCCUCCAUGACAGUUCUAACCGUCUUCUUUGGUCUACAAAUGUGUCUGUCCAGGGGACAACCUCUGUUGCACAGCUUCAAGAUUCAGGAAAUCUGGUAUUGGUCCAAGGCAAUAACAAAAAGGUUAUAUGGCAAAGCUUUGAUCAUCCUACAGACACACUGCUUCCAGGCAUGAGGCUUGGGUUGAAUCGGAUGACUGGGUUAGACAGGUUCUUGACAUCUUGGAAGUCACAAGAUGACCCCGGAACUGGGGACUACUUCUGUAAGAUAAAUCCUACUGGCUCUCCACAGGUCGUCUUGUAUAAGGGUUCGACUUUAUAUUGGCGGUCAGCUCCAUGGCCGUGGCCCACAUCAUUAUCAGCAGCAACAUCCUCAUCGAGUUUUAAGUAUUAUUUUGUUAACAACGAAGAUGAGGUAUCUUACUACUUUUUUGAUGACCCCUCUAUCAUUUCUAAAGAAGUGGUUGGCAACUCUGGAUUAAUCCAGAAACUUAUGUGGAAUGAUGGUGACCUUCAAUGGAAGGAAUUCUGGUCAGCACCUAAAUACCGGUGUGACAACUAUAGACACUGUGGUGCCUACGGCAAAUGUGAGUCUGAUGACAAUGUUAAUAAGUUUGAGUGUACGUGUUUGCCAGGGUAUGAACCCAAGUCUUGGAAGAAUUGGUAUCACAGAGAUGGUUCUGGGGGGUGUGUGAGGAAGCAGUUGGGGUUGUCGAUGUGUGGGAAUGGAGAAGGGUUUGUGAAGGUGGAGCGUUUGAAGGGCCCUGAUUCAUUUAAUGCAGUUUGGAUGGACAUGAGUAUGAGUAGCUCAGAGUGCGAGCAGGCAUGCUUGAGAAAUUGCUCUUGCACGGCUUUUAUCAGCAUGAAUAUUGAUGGGAAGGGGACCCGUUGCUUGGCAUGGUAUGGUGAAUUGGUUGACGUUUCGGAGAAUUCAUAUGUAAGGUGGGAUCUAAAUGUGCGUGUAGAUGCAACUGAGUUAGCUACUUACACAAGGAAGUCCAAUGGUUUUCUUGGCCACAAGAGGCAGCGGGCUAUUACAAUAAUUUCUCUUAUGGUGACAUUGUUUCUGGUAUGCUUGAUAGGCUAUAUAUGCCUAAUGAAGAAGAAGAGGAGGAAAACAUCCCCCUCAAAAAAAAAAGAAGAAGAGGAAAACAAAAGGACAGUGAAGAGAAAAUUGCACAAUCAAUCAUUAUAUUUUACCGGUGCCGUGGGCUAUUUGGAGGGAAAUGAGCUAGAGGAGAAUAGUAGACAUCCAGAUUUAUUGAUCUUUGAUCUAAGCUGCAUAGUUGCUGCCACUGACAAUUUCUCUCCAAUCAACAAACUAGGACAAGGUGGCUUUGGUUCUGUUUUUAAGGGUCAAUUAUCUAAUGGACAGCAAGUAGCUGUAAAAAGGCUAUCCAAUAGUUCAGGACAAGGAAUAGAGGAAUUCAAAAAUGAAGUUAUGUUAAUAGCAAAACUUCAACAUAGGAAUCUUGUCAAGCUUUUUGGUUGUUGCAUUCAGGGGGAAGAAAAGAUGUUGAUUUAUGAGUACAUGCCCAACAAAAGCUUGGAUUUCUUCAUUUUUGACCAUACAAGAAGUUCAUUGCUUAAUUGGGGGAAACGCCUUGAAAUCAUUAUUGGGAUCACUCGUGGGAUUUUGUAUCUUCAUCAAGACUCAAGAUUAAGAAUUAUACAUAGGGAUCUUAAAACUAGCAAUGUUCUCCUAGAUGGUGAGAUGAAUCCUAGAAUUUCAGAUUUUGGGAUAGCUCGUAUAUUCAAAGGGGACCAAAUUCAAGACAAGACAACUAGAGUUAUCGGAACAUAUGGUUAUAUGUCACCAGAGUAUGUGAUAUUUGGGAAAUUUUCAACAAAAUCAGAUGUCUUUAGUUUUGGUGUCAUGUUGUUGGAGAUCAUUAGUGGCAAGAAGAAUAACAUUUCUUAUCAAACACACCCUUCCCUAACUUUGAUAGGGCAUGUCUGGGAACUAUGGACAGAAGAUAGAGCCUUGGAUAUAGUUGAUUCAUCGAUUACUGAGUCAUUUGUUUCUCAUGAAGUCUUGAGAUGCAUUCAAAUUGGGCUCUUAUGUGUGCAAGAAGAUGCAACAGAUCGACCAACAAUGUUGGCAAUUCUUCUCAUGCUAAGUUGUGAAACAACUCUUCCUUCUCCGAAUCAACCUGCUUUUGUUUUCAAAAGACCUACCAAGGAUUUCGGAUCAGUCACAGGAAAGGGGUUUUAUUCUAUAAAUGACGUGACAAUAACUAAGUUUGAAGCUCGCUAAAGAUUCUAGUUAAUCUCCUUUAGAGCUUGGAGAAAUUGGCAUCUUGCGGGUUGUGAGUUUUCGUGGUAAUGGAAUCAGAUCUAGGUCAGUGCUCUUUCACUUUGGAUGACGCGUUCUUCCCUACUGCCCAUGGGAGGAAGAGGUUCCUUAAUUGUGUGUGGGUGAGGCUGCUGCCAAAAGACCACAUGCAAAAGAGGUCCUAUUUGACAUGUUUUACCUGCUGUCCAUGGAGGUAGAGAAAAACCUUGAGGGUAUGGGUCAGACUGCUGCCCAUGGAGCCAAGAGACUGUAUAUCAGAGAGGACAAUAUCAUGCCAGUUGUGAAUGGGUGGAUCUUCUGACCGGUCUAUGUGGUAGUGUGGUAUAUUUGAGAUAAAUUACCUUAUAUUUGAGUUUACGGCUUUGGAAUUAUAUUGCUAGUGCUCACAAAUUACAGUAUAUAGUUUCAAGAUUAAUUAGCUAUACCUUGGGUAUGGAGCUUACUUCAUUGGUGAUGAUUGAAGUGCUAUGUUAAAUUUGGAGACUUUUGCUGUAAAUGGUUGGUGACUCGAUUUUGCUAUGUCCAAUGAAACCUUAAUUGAUUCUAUCGGAGGUUGGUCACUUGAGGUUUGUUAGUCUUAGGUGUGGUAUGUCUAGAUUUGGUGUUAAGGUUCCUUAUUCUUGGUAAGAUUGUGAGUUUGUGUAAUCCAAUUGGAGUUUUGUAAUAUAUUCAUGUAUUAUGUGGAGGCACAUGACUUUUUUGUUAUU